AUGACAUACCAGACUGGUUUAAAACCACCAGGUGGCCUGUGGCAAGACAACAAAAAUGGACACUCUGCUGGCAACCCCAUCCUCCAUGACAUCAACAAGCACCGGUACCAUGCUUUCUUUUACAACAACUCAACUUCCUUCAUGGCCUCAAUCGUAGUCGUUGUCAUGCUGCUUCCAUUGACGACAUUUCACAAUCACAAUCUGCCACUUUGGCCGAUGCAUACAGCCAUUUUACUGGAUAUGUUUAGCCUCCUUGUGGCCUAUGCAGCAGGUAGUAAUAGGAAGUGGGAAACCUCCAGAAAUGUCAUACUUCUCAUCAUCCCAGUGUUGGCCUACAUUGCAGUCUACGCAACACUGUCAGUCUUCUACCAUAGGAAAGACCAAAGUUCUAGUAAUGAGAACGCCAAUUCCGACGCCACUGAUACAAUGACCGACACCACUGCUUGA
rnacentral:rRNA from 1 species